rnacentral:rRNA from 1 species
UACGUAGGGCGCAAGCGUUGUCCGGAUUUAUUGGGCGUAAAGAGCUCGUAGGCGGUCUGUCGCGUCGGCUGUGAAACCCCGAGGCUCAACCUCGGGCCUGCAGUCGAUACGGGCAGACUAGAGUGUGGUAGGGGAGACUGGAAUUCCUGGUGUAGCGGUGAAAUGCGCAGAUAUCAGGAGGAACACCGGUGGCGAAGGCGGGUCUCUGGGCCAUAACUGACGCUGGAGGAGCGAAAGCGUGGGGAGCGAACAGG